ACGCUCGACACCUACGGGGGGCAGCAGUGGGGAAUAUUGCACAAUGGGGGAAACCCUGAUGCAGCGACGCCGCGUGGAGGAAGAAGGUCUUCGGAUUGUAAACUCCUGUUGUUGGGGAAAAAGAGGAUGGUACCCAACAAGGAAGUGACGGCUAACUACGUGCCAGCAGCCACGGUAAUCUGAGGCGGGCUGGCAAGGC
rnacentral:rRNA from 1 species